GUUUGACAUUUCCAAUUAUGAUGGGGUACUCUGCCGUCCAUGCUUCGCAGAGGGAUCUGUUGAAAUUAUAGCGGUAGGCAAAAAGACUAAGGAAGCAAAUCUCUAUCUCCAAAGGGAGAGUUAGAGGAACGGUGCCAAGAUGAGGUUGAGCACCACCGCACACAUAGCAUGUUUAUUAGCAUUGUAUUUCAUCCACUCUAACCAUAGAUUGAUAUCAUUGUAACCAGUUUCAGUGGCCAUGGUGUCUUCGAAGGUGGGGUUAGCAAUGGCCAUCAUGUCCUUAAAAGACUGGAUAUGUGGUUUUAGUGGAUUCGGGACCAUAUGAACAGCCCCUUGCCACUCUGGAGAGUGGUACAUAUCUUUAAAAUAGAAGUGACCUAAUUUGUUAUAGGAACCACUUUUCCA